ACACCUCAACUCUCAUGGGUUUGCCAUGAUGAGCUUGGACUUUGGGGGUCUUGCUGGCCUGUGGUCGGCUCCUCUCAAACGAAUCAGCUUUCCAGUGUUUGGUGGCAUCACAGGUGUGAUAAAUAUCUACGCUUGUGGCUGCCUGCCAGGUAACCUUCAGUGAUGGAGGUUCGCUGGGGCUCAUAAAUGUCUCUCCUCUGCGAAGACAGCUUUGUGAAU
rnacentral:misc_RNA from 1 species